UUUUUUUUUCAGCAAAGAAUUAAGAAAAUUAAGGGGAUACUUCAGGGGUAUCCCAACCCUUAUACAAAAACUAACAACAAGUAUAAAAAGAAGAUUACAAAGUGGCAUAAAGCUACAUAAUAAACAGCAACUUGCCCAAAACACCUUUCAAAAAACCUUGGUCUACAUGAGUCCCCACAUACACUGCCUUUUUGUUCCAGCAUUUUAUCUUUUUGUUCCAGUAAUUUAUGCCACAUAUUCUAGCGAAUCUGCAUCUCUCUUUCCUAACUGUUCCUUUGGCCAUUAAUCACCUGUAUACUUACACAAUUUAGACUUCAUAAACUGCUGCCAUACCUGCCAACAUGACCAUCUUCUUCUUACUAAAAUUCAGCAAACAAAAAGAUAGGUUGCACUUGCAUCUACUUGUAUGCUUCUGGUAUAGUUGGGCUUCAUAGGAGUUGUUAAAUUCCCCUAGUCAUCAUAACAUACGAUG
rnacentral:lncRNA from 1 species